rnacentral:rRNA from 1 species
UACAGAGGUGGCAAGCGUUGUUCGGAAUUACUGGGCGUAAAGGGCGCGUAGGCGGCCGCCUAAGUCAGACGUGAAAUCCCCAAGCUUAACUUGGGAACUGCGUCUGAUACUGGGUGGCUGGAGUUCGGGAGAGGAAUGUGGAAUUCCAGGUGUAGCGGUGAAAUGCGUAGAUAUCUGGAGGAACACCGGUGGCGAAGGCGGCAUUCUGGACCGAAACUGACGCUGAUGCGCGAAAGCCAGGGGAGCAAACGGG